rnacentral:rRNA from 1 species
UACGUAGGGUGCAAGCGUUAUCCGGAAUUAUUGGGCGUAAAGAGCUCGUAGGCGGUUCGGCAAGUCGGGUGUGAAAUUUCGAGGCUCAACCUCGAAACGCCACUCGAUACUGCUGUGACUGGAGUCCGGUAGAGGAGUGCGGAAUUCCUGGUGUAGCGGUGAAAUGCGCAGAUAUCAGGAGGAACACCAACGGCGAAGGCAGCACUCUGGGCCGGUACUGACGCUGAGGAGCGAAAGCGUGGGGAGCAAACAGG